CAGAACAUCAGAGGAGCAACUUUCUCAUACGUGUAUAAACUGUGUCUGCUGGCUUAGUGCUAGUCAAUUUAUAAAGAAAAUUAGUUUAUAAUCUUCAUGAGGAGAAACUAACUGGGGAGGGGUGGGGCAGGCAUGACUGCCCUUGUCAGGCUGAGGCACUUGGGCUGUGUCCACGCCCACUUCUGGAGAGAGCCAUGUCAGUAGAUAACAUGCCUUCAAUCGUAAAUAGCAAGUUACUCUAUACGGGGUAUCUUUGCCCCCACUCCCUUCUCUGUUAUCAUGGUUAAUUGUGUCAACUUGACUGCAUUGAGGGGACCCCAAGAAACUAGUGAAGCAUACCCUUGGCUCUGCCUGUGAGGGCUUUUCCAGUGACAACGAGAUCACAAAGCCUGACCUAAUGAAUGGAUGGUUUCAUCGAUUGAUGGGUUCAAGCUUUGAGUGAACUACUGGAGAAGAAAGUGUCUCCUCUGUGCUUGACCCUGCUCAUCCCCAGUGACCCUGUCCCCUAUUCUGGAGGAAAUGAGUGCGUCACAGAUAAGCCAAGAAGAAUCUCGACAGACAAGUCUUGCUGAGUUCCCCAUGCAGUCAGUUAGCAACCACGGCUUCUCACCGGAGUCCACGUAAGAACCCAAAAGGACUGCAGCCUCUGGAGAGUUGGCAGAGAGACAGACUUGUGGGUCUUCCUACAGAGGGUGCGGACUCCACACACCCUUUCUCAUACUUUACUGUGACUGUCCUUUCAUCUGUAUCCUUUGUAAUAAAGCAGCAGAUGUGA